rnacentral:rRNA from 1 species
AACGAACGCUGGCGGCAUGCCUAACACAUGCAAGUCGAACGAGACCUUCGGGUCUAGUGGCGCACGGGUGCGUAACGCGUGGGAACCUGCCCUUAGGUUCGGAAUAACUCCCCGAAAGGGGUGCUAAUACCGGAUAAUGUCUUCGGACCAAAGAUUUAUCGCCUUUGGAUGGGCCCGCGUUGGAUUAGCUAGUUGGUAGGGUAAAAGCCUACCAAGGCGACGAUCCAUAGCUGGUCUGAGAGGAUGAUCAGCCACACUGGGACUGAGACACGGCCCAGACUCCUACGGGAGGCAGCAGUGGGGAAUAUUGGACAAUGGGCGAAAGCCUGAUCCAGCAAUGCCGCGUGAGUGAUGAAGGCCUGAGGGUUGUAAAGCUCUUUUACCCGGGAUGAUAAUGACAGUACCGGGAGAAUAAGCUCCGGCUAACUCCG